rnacentral:rRNA from 1 species
UACGGAGGGAGCUAGCGUUGUUCGGAUAUACUGGGCGUAAAGCGCACGUAGGCGGCGCAGCAAGUCAGGGGUGAAAUCCCGGAGCUCAACUCCGGAACUGCCUUUGAAACUGCAGUGCUAGAAUCCUGGAGAGGCGAGUGGAAUUCCGAGUGUAGAGGUGAAAUUCGUAGAUAUUCGGAAGAACACCCGUGGCGAAGGCGGCCCACUGGGCCGGUACUGACGCUGAGGCGCGAAGGCGUGGGGAGCGAACGGG